GAUCGGGUCUAUAAUUAGGAGCAAUCCUCACCGAAAUCCAAAGAUUUCAAGGACAACGUAUCAGUGACUGUGAAUAAUGAAGACACUAAAGUUGAAAUCGUAUUACCGGUAUCUAUAAUCAAACCUUAUGGACGGACAACGUAUCAGUCAACUAAAGUUGAUGGAUUGAGUGAAAUCGUUCAAGGCUGGUUGAUACUGAAUCGUAUGUUAAAUACGUUUUAGCCCUACAAAUGGUUAACUCAACCACAGCUGAUAGGGUGGAUGAAAAUAAUAGCAGAGAUGGAAGGGAAUCCUCCAGUGAGGUAUUUGACUAGAGAUGAUUCUGGUGUUGAUGAAAUCAUGGAAUACUAGAGUACCAAUGAAGGUUUCCUUCUUAGUUUGGACUCUUUGCUAUGGAGGUGCUCCAACUCUAGAUUUUCUACACAGAACUGGUAGAACUAAUAACAGCAUCUGCCUUUUCUGCAAUGUGGCUCAGGAAACAAAUAACCAUCUCUUUAUGCAGUGCACUGAAACUUUAAAGCUGUGGAAUUAUUUCAUUAACAACUUUGGCAUUGGCUGGGUCUUCUCUGAAUCUGUUAAAGCAACUUUGUGGGAAUGGCCUGCUAAGAGGGGAUCUGCUAUGCACAAGAAGUUAUGGGGUAUAUUGCCUUUUGCAAUCUGGUGGAACAUUUGGACAGAGCGCAAUAACAGGCUAUAUGGGAACAAAAGAAGGGGAGUUAACCAGUUAAUUGUUGCAGUCAAAUGCACUAUCUACAACUGGUGUAGAUCAACUACAAUUUUUGAGAACAUUCCUUUUAAGUACCAUCAUAUGUAAUUGGGAUGCUAGUCUAGCUUGAGCAUUUUGCUCUGUUUUGUUUUUUCUUUUUUUGUUCUCUGUCAUGCCUUUAUGACAUAUUACAUUCUUAAUGAAAUUUGCCUUUGUCAAAAAAAAAAAAUCAUGGUUUGCCGAUUCUUUUGACGAGGUAAGUGAUCAUGAGUUCUCUUUUUCUAUUUGAAUUGAUAGUUAGUUAUGUUCCAGGUUGUGUUAUAUGAAAUUUGGGGGAAGAUUGCGGCAAAAAAAAUUAGGGGUUUUCUAAAUUUUGGAUAUGUAGACCUAUAUUUUAUUUGGUUUUGAUUAAUUUUAGAACCGGGUUGUAGUUGUUGGAUGUUUUUUUUAGAAAGUAAAAUUGAUUUAUUUGAUAGGGAUUAAAUUUAUGUUUGUAUUGAACUGAAGUUGCUUUGCUCAAGUAGAUUCAGUUUGAGUUUUCCAUGGGGUGAUAUUGAGUAUCAUCAGGAGACUUUGGAGGAUUUUAAGACGGCUGUUAAGAGAACUAAGAAGCUAUGUGCUGUUAUGCUAGAUACAGUAGGCCCUGAAUUGCAAGUUGUUAAUAAAAGUGAAAGAUGGAUUGCACUAAAGGCUGAAUCAUCAGUUGUUUUGACUCAGGAUCAAGAUAAAGAAGCAACUUCAGAUCUAUUGCCAGGCAAUUAUGAUGGAAUAGCAAAGGCAGUAAAGGAAGGAGACUGUACUAGCUGUGUUCGGAACCUUGUGACAAGUUAUGGAACCUGGGGAGAAAGGCAGCUCACACCAAGAUGAAACUUCUCUCGCAGUGAGUAACUUUCAUGUUUCUUCUCUAGUCUUAUAUAUUAAAUGAAUAGUUCCGUAUUUUGUUUACAUAAAACUGAUUCCCAGGCGAACACAUUAUGAAGUUAGUGUGACACUAGUGACCUGUUGGAUUUUACUGUAAUUUUUGACACCGGUACACCUCAUUCACACACUUAAACGAUCCAGCAUACUGGGCUAUAUGUGAAAGUGUAAGUAGUCCAACUAGCGAAAUGAUAGUAGCUGGUAUGAUGCAAUUGAAGAGAACCAUUUAGCUUCAUUUCGAGGGGUCCAUGGAUUAGCAAAGCUGGUGAUGAUGCAGUUGAACAACUGCACAAACGCUUCAUUCUGUUAAUCUCACGUGCUUAGUUUCAUGUGUUGACUGUCUAGGACCUUAUUGUUCAUCUUCCCAGCAGCUUAUAUAAAUUGGAAAGUUGUAUGCUCUCAACUGACUCAGAUGAUUAGUGAUGCACUUUUGCAUGGAAAAAGGUGCCACACAACAUCUUAGUUUGGAUAUUAUGUAUUCAGUUAUUUAGCACUUCAAUACUUCUGAUUCUCUAGAUUUGAAGGGGAAAUUCCAUGGUGACAUCAUUUGUAUUCAGAAAUUGAAAACGACAUCAUUCCAUGGUGACAUCAUUUUAGUUUGGAUAUUAUGGGGAUAGAUUUUGCAAGCAAGGGCGGUCAAUCCCUUGUUGGCAUGUCAAGUAGUCCCCAAAAAUUGAAAACGACUGGUCGAACUCCGUUGGUGGCCGGCUCGGAUCAACAGCUCGAUGGAUCAAGCCUAGGCGGCUGCUCCGGACUGGACAGCUCCGGCAGGGCGGGAUGUAUUUGGCAGGGGUGUCAUCGGGGAAGUGGAUUAAUGCGGAGGAUAAAGUGACGGAAAGCCGAACUAUCGGCAUCGGGAAGGAUCGAGCGAAGAGUGUUCCCCUUGGCAACAAGGGCGCUUAGGCGGUCUGGCCACGCCGGCGGGACAUCUAAUGUCUGCAGCACUCACGGUCUAAACAGUGCGAUUAGCUCCCGCCCAAAACCGCCCAACCCGAAUAAAGGAAACAAAGGGUCAUUUCCAUUAUUUGUAUUCAGACUGCACUAAUGAGAUUGUUUCUACGGUUUAACAUUGAGUGAACUUUUUAUUGAUGUUAACUGCAGGCUCAGAGUAUAGGUUUAGACCAUAUGGAUGUGGAGGGUUUGAAGAGGCUUAACAAGAACAAGAAAUUGGUUGAGAAGCUUGCUAAGAAAUACCAUGCUUUUCUUGAAUCUGAAGCUGUUAUGUACAGGAAAAUUUCCAACUCUUGUUACCCAUCAGGAGUCUCUGGAGUCGAAGGUUAAUGAAACCAAGGCCAUGGUCAAGUUUCAAUUAAAGAAGGUACUCUGCAUGGGUGUUGCAGUAGGGAACCUUGGAAUGGAGGAGAAACAAAUCUUCCAGAAUGUGCAACUGAGUGUUAACUUCCUCGUUUCCACCAUACUUAAAAGUUCUAGUACCCAAUUAAUAAUAUGCGACAGUGUUAACAAGGUAUCCAAUUAAUAAUAUGCGACCUCUUUAAAGAGGUACCCAA